CUUUUUGUUGCUAUUGUGAAUGGAACCUGUUUUUUUCCCUCCUUAUCAUACUUUCUGUUUUCAAAAUAAUUGGUUUAUUGACUUUUUUUUUUUUUAACAUAUUGACCUUGCAUCAUUGGUUCUAAUAGUUUUCAGCUGAUUUUCUUGGAUUUUCUAGGUAACUGACCAUGUUAUCUGGAAACAGAAACCACUGAGUCUCUUCAUUUCUGUUUUGUCUGGGCUCUUUCAGUACACACACACGGGAUUACUCACCUGGGAGCGAGACCUGAGUUCUGGUGCAAGCCUUCUAUUUACUGACCUGGGUGAUGCAAAUCUCUUAACCUCAGAGGUAAAAUGAGGGGGCUGUUGCCUCUGACUCCGUGCUUCUGCAGUUUAAUUAUAAUUAACUCAAACGUUUGAUGAGCUCUUUAAAAAUUAAAAAAAAAAAAAAUGGUUGGUGGCUUUAAUAAGUUUGUACCACUGGGCCCUGAGUCGUAUUUUUGAAGUAAUAUAAGACAGGGAGAGAGGGUUGAGAGGUCCCUUCCAUUAUAUGAAUUUCCUAUUGAAUGUGUUAGUUUGAGAUAGCACCUGCCUAGUGUUAGGGGUCUAUAGAUACUACUUGAAUUAGGGAAGGUAGUGAUUAGGAUAAUGAAAUUUUUUUAAUUUGAAAAAACAACAAAGCCAAACAGAAACGAGUUUCUAAUUUUAUUGCAAAUAACUUGCAGGACUGAAAAUGAUUAAAGUUGUCAUACAUUUCUACAUUGAUAAGCCCUGUGCCAAGGGAUCAGAUACAACACAGUAAUCUACCAAGAUGAAAAAGAGUACCAUUGUUAACAGCUUAUUUUAAGGGUUGUAGAGUUUUAAAUGAAUUUGCUUUGUUUCUUUGUCUUUUAUUCUAAGAAGCUGUCUCUGAGGGGUUUAUGCAGGAAAUAGAUGUGAUCACCUUUGUGAUGUGUUAAAUUAGUAGCAAAUUUAACUUUAGGAUGAAAAAUCAUACUGGAUGCAGAAAUAGACAUUCAAAGAACCACAUACUAGUUGCAGGUUAGACAUAAUAUAUAAAAGUUAUUUUUAUAAUGAUUUUUAAAUUUGGAAUUAUUAAGAUUACACUUUUUUUUAAGUGUAACUGAGAGAAGCAAGAGCAAUGUAUUUGUGAUCGAAUUUAAGUCAGCUGCAUGAUAUUUGUAUAUCUACAUGUGAAAGUUUAAAUAUAAUGACAUUGUCUAUAUAAUGCAUAUAUAGUACACACACGCCUAUGUAGUUAGAAUCCUUAUCUAUUCCAUAGGAAGAAAAUGCUGUGUUAAAAUGUCUCUAGCAUUGAGUUACCUCUAAAGAAAUCAUAUUGUUUUGUUUUUGUUACU
rnacentral:lncRNA from 1 species